rnacentral:misc_RNA from 1 species
UUUUUUGCACAAAAUAAGGGUCGGAUAGCCCACUUCUCUACCUGAGUUUUCCUUUUUAAAAUUUCAGAAAUAUGUAUGUAUGGUGUCUAUUUUGAAUACUCUUGCUCUAAUCAAUAAUUAGAAUGUUUCUUUUAAGUACUCAAAUAUAAAUUAAAUUGCAAUGAAAUGUAAGUUUUUGUUUUCUCUCAAGGUAGUAUUCUUUUUAGAUUAUAUAUCCAAAAAAAAAAAAAAACUUACAUUUCAUUG